rnacentral:rRNA from 1 species
AGUGAACGCUGGCGGUAGGCCUAACACAUGCAAGUCGAACGGCAGCACAGUAAGAGCUUGCUCUUACGGGUGGCGAGUGGCGGACGGGUGAGGAAUACAUCGGAAUCUACUUUUUCGUGGGGGAUAACGUAGGGAAACUUACGCUAAUACCGCAUACGACCUACGGGUGAAAGCAGGGGAUCUUCGGACCUUGCGCGAAUGAAUGAGCCGAUGUCGGAUUAGCUAGUUGGCGGGGUAAAGGCCCACCAAGGCGACGACCCGUAGCUGGUCUGAGAGGAUGAUCAGCCACACUGGAACUGAGACACGGUCCAGACUCCUACGGGAGGCAGCAGUGGGGAAUAUUGGACAAUGGGCGCAAUCCUGAUCCAGCCAUACCGCGUGGGUGAAGAAGGCCUUCGGGUUGUAAAGCCCUUUUGUUGGGAAAGAAAAGCAGCAGGUUAAUACCCCGCUGUUCUGACGGUACCCAAAUAAUAAGCACCGGCUAACUUCGUG